rnacentral:misc_RNA from 1 species
ACGACAUCUUCUCGGAGUUGAUCGCCAAGGAGUACAUCCGCCAGAACAACGGCAAGAAGCGCAAGGUAAACGCCGUGCAGCUCGGCUACGAGGCGCGUUGCGCGAAGCCCCACGCGUUCGACGUGAUGCUCGGCAGCCAGCUCGGCGUCGGGGCCUAUCGCGCCCUGGUCGAGCGGCGGCUCAAUGGCGUGAUGGUUUCCGUGUCCGGACAGCUUCAGCUGCAGUACGUGCCGUUCGAGGAGCUGGUGGAUCCCCAGUCACUGGUCACCAUUGUCCGCUACAUCGAGCUGGGCAGCGACUUCCACCGGCUCACGCGGUUUCUGGAAACGAACGUCAACGCCGCCGGCGGCCCCGGGAGCCCGCUGUAGCUGGAAGCGUUGGCCGGCGUCGCCCGGAUGACGGGCCGUCUCGCGCGCUCCCAUAGGCGGCGUCCGCACGCGGUGGUAGAUUCAUGACGCCGCGCCGCAGUUGGCGUCGCUUCCCGCCUGAGACCCCCGCAUGU